AGAGUUUGAUCCUGGCUCAGAACGAACGUUGGCGGCGUGGAUUAGGCAUGCAAGUCGAACGAAUCCCGGUAGCAAUACUGGGGGAAGUGGCGAAAGGGGCAGUAAGGCGUGGAUAACCUACCCUGGGGAUGGGCAUAGCUGUUCUAACGAGCAGGUAACACCCAGCGAUCUGAAGAGGCGGCAUCGCUUGUUCAGGAAAUAAAUUUUGCCUCGGGAGGGGUUCACGUAGUAUCAGCUUGUUGGCGGGGUAACGGCCCACCAAGGCGAAGACGCUUAGCGGGUGUGAGAGCACGACCCGCGCCACUGGCACUGAGACACUGGCCAGACACCUACGGGUGGCUGCAGUCGAGGAUCUUCGGCAAUGGGCGCAAGCCUGACCGAGCGACGCCGCGUGAAGGAUGAAGGCCUUCGGGUUGUAAACUUCUGUCGAGGGGGAUAAAGCCGCAAGGUUGAUAGAUCCCUGAGGAAGCACGGGCUAAGUUCGUGCCAGCAGCCGCGGUAAGACGAACCGUGCGAACGUUGUUCGGAAUCACUGGGCUUAAAGGGCGCGUAGGCGGCUUGGCAAGUCAGUGGUGAAAUCCUCCGGCUUAACCGGAGAAGUGCCAUUGAUACUGCUGAGCUUGAGGGAGGUAGGGGCAGCUGGAACUUCUGGUGGAGCGGUGAAAUGCGUUGAUAUCAGAAGGAACGCCGGUGGCGAAAGCGAGCUGCUGGAUCUCUACUGACGCUGAGGCGCGAAAGCUAGGGGAGCAAACGGGAUUAGAUACCCCGGUAGUCCUAGCCCUAAACGAUGGGUACUAGAU
rnacentral:rRNA from 1 species